rnacentral:misc_RNA from 1 species
AAGUCGUAACAAGGUUUCCGUAGGUGAACCUGCGGAAGGAUCAUUAAAAAAAUAUUAUACAACACUUUUAGGAAAAAAAACACUAAAUAUUUCUUUAUCAAUCUAAGUUUAAAAAAAAAACUUUCAACAACGGAUCUCUUGGUUCUC